AAGAGAACGAUGUUUGCAUUGCAUCUGAGAAAUAGUAGAAGGUUUUUUCCAUUGUCAAGAGAAUGAUGCUUGCACUGCAUCGAUAAUUCUUGUUGCCUAACUAUGAUCAUCAUAUAAUGUUACCUUUAUCCAUAUAUUGCAUGAUACUAGGCUAUCCUUCUGCUUUAGGCGUGGUUCUAUAGCCCAUUAAUUGUUAUACAAUCAUGAAGUUGAUCCAGCAGUUGGUCUAUCGCCUAAAAGAAUAGUAACUGUGAUUUUUAUUUUUAGGUUCGAGUGGAAGGAUCUGUGCAGAAAGUUCCGGACGAGGAAUCUGAACAGUGCAUGUAUAUCUGUCCUCAAGGAAGUGAAAUUGGAGCAAUAGUUAGCAAUCAGAGUGCUAUAAUUCCUGGAACGCAUGUUCUACACCAAACAUACAAAGAAUAAGUGGAAAAAUGUUCUGAUGGAAAUUUGAUUCCAAAACCUAAACACUGGGGAG